AAUAUUGGACAAUGGGCGCAAGCCUGAUCCAGCCAUGCCGCGUGAGUGAUGAAGGCCNNNGGGUUNUAAAGCUCUUUCGGCGGNGAANAUAAGGACGGUACCCGCCGAAGAAGCCCCGGCUAACUUCGUGCCAGCAUCCGCGGUAAUACGAAGGGGGCUAGCGUUGUUCGGAAUCACUGGGCGUAAAGGGCGCGUAGGCGGCCUUGUAAGGCGGGGGUGAAAGCCUGUGGCUCAACCACAGAAUUGCCUUCGUUACUGCGGGGCUUGAGACCGGAAGAGGUCAGUGGAACUGCGAGUGUAGAGGUGAAAUUCGUAGAUAUUCGCAAGAACACCAGUGGCGAAGGCGGCUGACUGGUCCGGUUCUGACGCUGAGGCGCGAAAGCGUGGGGAGCAAACAGG
rnacentral:rRNA from 1 species